rnacentral:rRNA from 1 species
UGUGUAGGCGGCAUGAUAAGUAAGGUGUGAAAUCCUACGGCUUAACCGUAGAAUUGCAUCUUAUACUGUCAUGCUCGAGUGCUGGAGAGGAUAGCGGAAUUCUAGGUGUAGCGGUGAAAUGCAUAGAUAUCUAGGAGAACGCCGGUGACGAAGGUGGCUAUCUGGCCGGCAACUGACGCUGAAGCACGAAAGCUAGGGGAGCGAACAGGAUUAGAUACCCUGGUAGUCC